rnacentral:rRNA from 1 species
GAUGAACGCUAGCGGCAGGCUUAAUACAUGCAAGUCGAGGGGCAGCAUGAAUGUAGCAAUACAUUUGAUGGCGACCGGCAAGCGGGUGCGGAACACGUACACAACCUUCCUAUAAGUGGGGAAUAGCCCAGAGAAAUUUGGAUUAAUACCCCGUAACAUAAUGAUGUGGCAUCACAUUAUUAUUAUAGCUACGGCGCUUAUUAAUGGGUGUGCGGCUGAUUAGAUAGUUGGCGGGGUAACGGCCCACCAAGUCUACGAUCAGUAGCUGAUGUGAGAGCAUGAUCAGCCACACGGGCACUGGGACACGGGCCCGACUCCUACGGGAGGCAGCAGUAAGGAAUAUUGGUCAAUGGACGCAAGUCUGAACCAGCCAUGCCGCGUGAAGGAUUAAGGUCCUCUGGAUUGUAAACUUCUUUUAUCUGGGACGAAAAAAGGCUAUUCUUAGUCACUUGACGGUACCAGAUGAAUAAGCACCGGCUAACUCCGUGCCAGCAGCCGCGGUAACAC